AAAGAGAUGGAAAAUUUCAAACCACCAUCCCAGAAUCUCUUGGAACUCAAGGUCAGCUUCGGCAUUCCAGCCUGGAACAAUCCUCCCAGACCUGGAGGUCCGCCCCCUCCAAAACUUCCACCGCCUCCGCCACCACCUCCUCCGCCAAAUCCGCCGCCUCCACCAAAGCCACCACCACCGCCUCCAGCACCAGCUCCUUUAGGUUCUGUAGAAGAAGAGACACCCGACAGACUAUGCCCCCUGGUCUGGCCCAGGCAUUAGGUAUUUCUCCCAGAAAGUUCCCUGAAGCACUUCUAAUCCUUUACUUUGCAAAGAUUCUGCCUCAUUAUUCACUUGUUGACAAAGAUCCAUCUGGUGAUUUUGGAAGGAAUGGACUGGAGAAGCUAAAAAAGACACUGCUGGACUUGUCACAGCCGCCGGGAAACAAGAAUUAAGACAGUUCGGAAGAGUCCCAUUCAAAGUGGGCGGUCUAGAAAAUGAAAAUUUUAAAUUCCACAGCAGCAACAGCAGCUCUCAUGUAUGGAGAAUCUGCUGGAUCCAGGGCUCUAUCCUUGCGUGGUCUCUGACUCCUAAGACAGCGGAAGCCAGCAUCGCUGUGCUCAUUUGAUAGACUCAGAGAAAU
rnacentral:lncRNA from 1 species